CUGAAGAGGUGCAAAGCAGUAUAUCAGAAAUUCUGUUUCUUGGUUGUAUGAAACUUCAGAUUUACCUUCCUAUUCUCAUUAUUAAUUACCUGCAAACCCUCCAAGAACACUUUCUGUGCCACAGCUGGACACUUUUUUCUCUACCCUCAUCUGCCAAAAGGUUGGUACUCUGUCAGAGAUGAGCUGGUGUCUCAUUUCUCUCUAUCCCUCUGUUUUUUCUCUUGCGCAUUCUGGCAGCGCAGGGCUCUUCUUUAUUAACCUUUUCCAACUGAAUAAGCCAGAACAACACAUGACUUCUGACCUGAAGCAAUACAGCCAAGUGAGUAGGCUGGCUAUCUAUUUGCACUGCCUUUCUACACGAGGUCCUUUUCCUCGGUAGACAUAAUGUACCAGAGAUGUAUUAGAGAUAAGGAUAAUGUGUCUGUCUGCCUGUUCUCCCUAUAGCUUUGGGAGACAAGCAGGAUGAAUAUGAGAGUGCAGUGGUAUGGGCCAAAUGCAAUGAGACUCCCACAAAUAUGGUGAGAUAAAAUGCUGUGGCCAAGAAUUGGAAAGGAUGCUGAAGAAUAGUUUCUUUUCCAUUUUUUUUUCCCUUGGAAACAAGCUCAUUUUUAUAGCAACAUGUCUGAUCUCACCAUUCAAAACGGAGAAUAUCCCAAGUUUGAUGCCUUGAGAUACAAGAGGAGGUUAAGAGAUGCAUAUCACUUCUAGAAAUGAACAACAGCUGCAUCCAGGCUUCUCCCUGAAAAUGGGUGACUUCUCCAGACACGGAGUGCCUUUCAUCCGAAUGGAUCCUAAUGAUGUAUAAUCUCAACAUCCGGAGGAGGCCCGAUGCGACAAAAGCUGAGGAAAAAAAAUCUAAUAUUACUUUGUUAACACACAGAAAAUGAUGCCGUAUUUUUCAAGCUGUAUUGAUGUAUUUAAUUGCCAUCAAUAAAAUAAUCAAAUGCCUUUUGUUUCUUUUUCUGUAUUCCUUACUUUUUUUUUCCAUUUUCAAAAUUUCUUUUACUUUCAUUCCACUGUAUUUUCAUUUUUUUUCCAUUUUUCUGCUACUUUUUAUAAAAUUAUUUUAUUUUGCCCAUAUUUUCUUGUAUUUGCCUCAUGCUGCUUUUCCUCCAUCUGUCAUAGAAAAUUUUCCUAUAUGAUGUCUUUUUUCUCACUACAGGCUUUUUUCCUCCCAGCUAAGAAACAGGAGUACCCCCUAAACCUCCUCCUUUUUCUCUCACUCCAUGGUUUUACUAAGACUAAUCUUUUUCACUGAUUUUACUUCUGCCAUUUUUGUCACUGUUGAUGUUGUGUACUCCAUCGGGAUAUUGUCUUCUCUUGGCUUAAAAAUCCCUUCCCCUUGCAUCCACAAUCAUCCAAAUGUCUCCUGUUAUGCUUGCCCAUGAUGCACCACAAAACUGUAAGUUAUAUGCGAGUGUUAUAUAUACCUAAAUAGCAUAUGUUUUACAUAUUAAACUUAUGUGAGAUCAUAUAUUGACUCAUAAGAGUGGUUUCCUUUAAUUACAGUCCACACACAUACCGUAUGUUAUAUAUAAAAACCAUAUGUCAAGCUAUCUCUGUGUAUGAAGCACUCAUGCC
ensembl:lncRNA